rnacentral:rRNA from 1 species
UCGGGAAUUUUGGGCAAUGGGCGAAAGCCUGACCCAGCAACGCCGCGUGAGGGAUGAAGUAUUUCGGUAUGUAAACCUCGAAAGAAUGGGAAGAAUAAAUGACGGUACCAUUUAUAAGCUCCGGCUAACUACGUGCCAGCAGCCGCGGUAAUACGUAGGGAGCAAGCGUUGUUCGGAUUUACUGGGCGUAAAGGACGCGUAGGCGGCGCGGUAAGUCACUUGUGAAAUCUCUGAGCUUAACUCAGAACGGCCAAGUGAUACUGCUGUGCUAGAGUGCGGAAGAGGCGACCGGAAUUCUGGGUGUAGCGGUGAAAUGCGUAGAUAUCAAGAGGAACACCUGAGGCGAAGGCGGGUUGCUGGGCCGACACUGACGCUGAUGCGCGAAAGCCAGGGGGGCAAACG